rnacentral:lncRNA from 1 species
GAUAAAGCAAAACAAAUCCUUCGCCACCCCCUCUUUUCUCUCAACAAGUUCUCUGAUCUGUUCUCCCCCACAACCUCCAUAGCCCUAACCCUAACGUCGCCCAACUCCACCCCCGUUGCUGGAUUCAGACCACCCACAACAGUCAUCCACCUUCCCCACUACCGGCGGUCGUCUUCAACCACCGCCGCAUCGUCUUCAACCACCGCCUUCUCCGCUGCUCAUCAUCGUCGACCACAACCACGCCCCUCAAUCCCAAUCGUAGCCGGAACCCUAACACCAGCCGCUGCCCACCCCCAUCCUCUUCACACAUCACCGGCAACCCACCACAGUCGAACGACCGCCGGCCCUCCACGCAUCACCGCUACCAGGGCUGUGCAUAUCACGACCACUUUGAGAAAACCACCUGCAACCAUGGCUCCUCUCUCCCUUUCCUUGAGAUCUGAGGUAAACAACAACACCACACAGGCCAACAUCGCCAUCUUUCGACGGAUCUGAGGAAAACAAGAAGCACCACGUCGGUCCAUUUCUACUCCGCCACCAUCUGGUCACACGACCCACACCCCGGUCCAUUUCCACUCCGCCACCAUCGAUGAAGAUAAAAAGAGUUUGGAUCAGGGCGGCUUGGUGGCAAGAACGAUUUGAUGUAUGUUUUAACUUUUAAGUUUGAACGAGCUUUUAACCGGAGAUUGGUGUUGAAGGUUGUCCAUUUUGGUGUUAUCUAUCCUGAUUAUCAUGAAUAAAGUGAAGUAAAAUGUAUGAAUGAUCUGAUUUUGAUACAAAGUGAUUUAUACUGUUAGUAACAGAACUGUUUAAAAGAGAAUGAGUAAAUUAUGUUU